GACGAACGCUGGCGGCGUGCUUAACACAUGCAAGUCGAACGGAAAGGCCUUUUCGGAGGUACUCGAGUGGCGAACGGGUGAGUAACACGUGGGUGAUCUGCCCUGCACUCUGGGAUAAGCCUGGGAAACUGGGUCUAAUACCGGAUAGGACCGCACUUUAGUGUGUGUGGUGGAAAGUUUUUUCGGUGUAGGAUGAGCCCGCGGCCUAUCAGCUUGUUGGUGGGGUAAUGGCCUACCAAGGCGGCGACGGGUAGCCGGACUGAGAGGUUGGUCGGCCACAUUGGGACUGGGAUACGGCCCAGACUCCUACGGGAGGCAGCAGUGGGGAAGAGUGCACAAUGGGCGCAAGCCUGAUGCAGCGACGCCGCGUGGGGGAUGACGGCCUUCGGGUUGUAAACGCCGUUCGCCAGGGACGAAGCGUUUUGUGACGGUACCUGGAGAAGAAGCACCGGCUAACUACGUG
rnacentral:rRNA from 1 species